ensembl:lncRNA LINC01270 long intergenic non-protein coding RNA 1270
GAAUCCAUGACAGUUCAAUCUCUGAACCCCACAGCUUCCUCCUUCACCCUUUGCCGCCCCAGGGCAAGCUUUACUGGGGUGUAACAAACACACGAUAAACUGCGCAUAUUCCAGUGUUCAUGUGGAUGAGUUUGGACAUAUGCACACACUUCCGAAACCACCAGCACAAUCAAGACAGCAGACAUAUCCAUCGCCCCCAAGGGUGUCCUUGUGUCUUUUUGUCAUUCAUCCCUCCCGGCCGCCCCAUCCACACUCCCAUCGCCUGCCGACUGUGGCUGAUCUGCUUUCUGCGGCUGUGGAUUAGUUUGCGUUCUCUACAAUUUUCUGAAGCACCAGUUAGCCCAGAUGCUUCUCAUCUUUGGAGUUGAGCUGCAGGCUGGAGACCUGGAAGGCCCUCGCAGCGCCUGCUCCCAUCCUCUCACCUCACGAAAGCGCAGGAAUGUGGGUUUGGAGCCAAUGAAAAGUACUGGAAUCUGGCUCUGCUCUGUGACCCUGGACAAGUCACUGCCCCUCUCUGGGCUUCAGUUUCCUCCUUGCUCCAUGAGGGCAGGGGAUUUUGUCUGUUUCAUUCACAAUGUGUUCCCAGAGCUCAGCACAGUGUCAGGCACACACUAGGGUUGGCCAUGAUUUGUGAAGGAGAUGCCAUUUUCCAUUGGAUGGACAGUGAGCAAGUGAACGCUUAGAGAAGAAGAGGACAAAACAAGGGAAAAGCCUGCCUGACAGGAAGCAGCACAGAGCUGGACAGGCUUUGAACUCCUGGAUCCCACUGUACCUGAAAUUAGGCACCUUCAACUUUCUAGUUAUGUGAGCCACUGUCUUUCCCAUUUUUGGCUGAAAACAGUUGGGACUGGCUUUCUGUCCCUUGCAUACAGAAGGUGCUGACUGACCCCUGCCCCAUGGAAGAAGAUACUCCAGGCAGAGGAAAUAGUGUGUAUAGACACCCCUAAGCGAAUGCCAAGCGGGGCACUCAUGUACCAAGAAGAAGGAGGAGGAGGCACCUGGGAGCUGAGCUUAAGAGUUAGUCGGGUGGUCAAGGUGGGAGAAGGGGGUAUCUUUAGCAGAGGGAACAACCAUUGCAAAAGCUUGGAGGGGUGACUAGUUAGUGAAGAUCAACUGUGUGCUGAGCUCGUGUUGGGUGGCAAGGGACACAGACGAAAAGGGCACGGUGGAACCCAGCUACUUCUCACCUGCUCCAGCGCAGUGCAGGCUUGUCUGCUUUUGGAGCCGAGCCUGGACACCUCCGUGUCCUUCCCCCGGCAGAGUGCUGCCAGCACGCUGUCUCAGACUCUCCAGCAUCUCCUGGUUGAUGUGCAUCAUGGGGACCACACAAGAUUAUUUUAUAGGCUGCACAGGCAAAGCAUAAAAUCACCUCGGGUCACAUAGCGAGAGUUAUUCUCUCUGCAAAUUCUUUACAGUCUUUCCUUUAUAUCCAGAAGAGUCUCUGUGUGGUGCUAACUUGCCUCGAAGACCAAAUAAUUGCUAGUCUCCCUUUGUGAAAAGGAGAGCAGGUGUCAGGCUCAUUCAUGUCUCAGGCACACAAUUGUAUCUAGCUAGACUUUUCAAAAUGUCCUAUAGAGCUGCAGCACAUAUGAAUGAGGUGUCCAGCUGGUCCCAAACCUGUAAUCGGCACCCCAGUGAGCAGACUGGACAUCCCCACCCCCACAGCUGCCCUUUCUCCCCUCCACUCAUGUUCCCUCUAGGGCCACCACGAUCCCGACUUGUAUCACCACAGAUGAGUUUCACAUGUUUUUGAAUUUUACAUCUUAUCUGUUUUCUGUUCCUAUACAAGUUUGCCUUUUUUGAAUUCCAUAUAAGUGGGAUUCUACAAUGUGUUAUCUCAAUUUGAGUCUGUUUUUUUUUUCCUGCUCAGCAUGAUGUUUUUGAGAUGCAUAUAUGCGGUUUUGUGUAUCUGUAGAUGGUUCUUUUUUAUUGCAGAAUAAUGUUCCAGGGUAUGGAUGUACCAAAGCUUGUUCAUCCAUUCACCAGCUGAGGGAUAUUUGGACUGUUUCCAGUUUUCAGCCAUUAUAAAUAAAGCCACUAGAAACAUUUGCAAA